rnacentral:rRNA from 1 species
UACAGAGGGUGCGAGCGUUGUCCGGAAUCACUGGGCGUAAAGCGCACGUAGGCGGAUGUGUCAGUCAGGGGUGAAAUCCCGGAGCUCAACUUCGGAACUGCCUUUGAUACAGCACGUCUGAGUCCGGAAGAGGUGGGUGGAAUUCCUAGUGUAGAGGUGAAAUUCGUAGAUAUUAGGAAGAACACGGUGGCGAAGGCGGCCCACUGGUC